UUCUACCUUGUCACUCGUGGGGUAGAUUUCGUCUUUGUCGAUGACGUGGCCGAGGUAUUUCAGCGAUGGCUGCAUGAAUUCGCACUUCUCUCGUUGUGCUGUGAGACCGUUGGCGUGUAGGCGUCGCAAAACUUCUUCCAGGUUUGUAAGGUGUUCUUCGCUGUCUCUUCCUGUCACCAGGAUGUCGUCUUGGUAACACAGUACUUGUGGAAGGUCCUUGAAAAUUCUGUCCAUCUGUCGCUGGAAAAUCGCUGCUGAGGACGCUACGCCAAAUGGAAGUCGAUUGUAGGCGUACAAUCCUUUGUGAGUGGUCAGGGUUGUGAACUGUUUAGCAGAGUCGUCGAGUGGUAUCUGGGAGUAUGCUUUGUUCUCUAGUUCUGUUUCCACCUGGUGCCGGAUGGCAAAAGGAACUGUGCGGUGCUUUUGGUGUACUGGAGUUGCCCCAUCACGGACGUGUAGCUGCGCAGCAUAUCCCUUGAGACAGCCUAGUUCGUCGCUGAAAACAUCUUGAUACUUCUCUGUGAGGUCUGACAGUGCAGUGUUCUUGCCUUGAACCAACUUGAUUGAUGGCCAAUCGAGUUUGAAUAGGCGCAGCCAAGAGCGACCAAAGAGUGCAACUCUAGGUCCAUCCACGACAUACAUCUUUGCCUCACAGCAUUGGUCGUUAUAACUAAUGUUCGCGCUGACCACACCCAUAGGGACUAUUAUCUCAUUACCAUACGUGCGAAGCUUUACUUUAGCGGGUUUGAGCUCUAGGUGUUUGCAUGUACUCUCGUAAACAUUGCGCGGGAUGAUUGACACUGACGAACCCGUGUCCAGUUCCAUGCUAACCGGGGACCCUUCAAUGUUGACUUGUACUAGAAUAGGGGGACUAGUUGUAUCACAUUUGAAAAUGUGUAAGCACUGGAUCUCAUCUUCCUCCCCCUCUGAGAUAUCCUGCUCUACGCAGUGGGUGGGUUUGGUCUUGCUUGGGGUACUCUUUUUGCGAUUGGUACUGGACAUGCACAUAUCAGAAAUAUGCCCGCGCUUGUUGCAUAUGCGGCAAAUGGCAUUGUAGAACUUACAGUCCCUGUGCGCGUGUGUGUUUUUGCCACAGCUCAUACAUUUCUGUGGGGUUUGCUCCAUUUUGAAAACGCGGGACUGAUGUGGCCGGGCAGAUUCGGGGGUCUGGGCUCCAGUCUCAGAGAUUGUGUGUGCUUGGUGGAAUGCAUUGGCACCUUUCCCUGCCUGUUCCAUUGCUUUGGCGAUGGUGACUGCUUUUUCUAGGGUUAAAUCGCGCUCGCACAGCAAUUUCUUAGAAAUAGAUUCAUUUGCUAAACCACAAACAAAUCGAUCGCGGAGGGCCUGGGGAAGAAAUUCCCCAAAAUUACAAUGUUCAGUCAUUUGUUUCAAUGGGGCCAUAAAUGCGUCGAUAUCUUCGCCAAGCGCUUGAUUUCUUUGGUGGAAUUUGUAACGCUCUGCAAUUUUGAGCGGGGCUGGUGAUAAAUGACCCUCAAGAAUUUCUAUGAUCUCUUGGUAUGUUUUGUCCUUGGGUUUUCUGGGUGAGGUCAGACCUCGUAACAGAUUGUAGGUUUUGGGACCGAUUAAACUAAGUAGCGAGG